AUUGAACGCUGGCGGCAGGCCUAACACAUGCAAUUCGACCGAGUGGCUGCCGGGUGAGUAAUGUCUGGGAAAAUGCAUGAUGGAGGUGGAUAACUACUGGAAACGGUAGCUCAUACCGCAUCCCAUCGGAGGUGCCCAGAUGGGAUUAGCUAGUAGGUGGGGUAAAGGCUUACCUAGGCGACGAGACCUAGCGGGGCUGAGAGGAUGACCAGCCACCCUGGAACUGAGACAUGGUCCAGACUCCUACGGGAGGCAGCAGUGGGGAAUAUUGCACAAUGGGCGCAAGCCUGAUGCAGCCAUGCCGCGUGUAUGAAGAAGGCCUUCGGGUUGUAAAGUACUUUCAGCGGGGAGGCGUUACCCGCAGAAGAAGCACAGGCUAACUCAGUGCCAGCAGCCGCGGUAAUUC
rnacentral:rRNA from 1 species